UUUCAGAGUCAGCUCUCUUCAGGAUGCGCAUUUAUUUCUCCCUUUGGAGGAGGCCUCAGUCCAGCUCAGCCAAGGACUGAAAGGCACAUCUGGCUAAUUCAAGACUGAGAAAGGCUUUUACAUCAAAUAUUGAUAAUGAUAAUAAUAAUGAACACAUGUUGAGCACUUACCAUGUCUCAAGCACUGCUCUAGAGCUUCCCAUGAAAGAACCCCUCUAAUCUUCAGAACAACCCUGUGAGAACUGGCUGAAGUUUACUUUUUGGUUCUCCAGAGACCUAGCUUCUUCCAAUGUGGUCUAUUUAAUCUCCUGUCAUGUGGGAAAUUAUAUUCAAAAUCUCCAUGAUCCUCUGUCCAUAGUAAGUUAUGCAUGUAGUGAGAAGUACAUGCCACAAGGUCUUGAGAUUAUAUCUGCAAUGUGUUGCUGCUGGCUGUUGAUCAAGAUAGGCUGGGAGAAGAUCAUUUUCAGGUGUGAAAAACUGUCACCUUUAUCAAAUAAUUCUUCUUGCAUAUUUCCCAAGACGUUGUAGCCUGUCUAAACUUGGGAGGUUAAUUUUGUAGCAUUCAUUAUGACCGAAAAUGUAGUUCACACAAUCAUGAUGCUCUCUUUAUUAGGUGUUACUGUUAAACAAUAUUAAAAUACA
rnacentral:lncRNA from 10 species